rnacentral:rRNA from 1 species
GCUUGUCUCAAAGAUUAAGCCAUGCAUGUCUUAGUGUAAAUAACUCUUAUGAAACUGCGAAUGGCUCAUUAAAUCAGUUAUCAAAUACGUGAUGGUCGCCUACUACAUGGAUAACCGUGACAAAUUACAGCUAAUACAUGCAGUCAGACCUGGCUCAAGGGUCGUAAUUAUUAGUACCAAACCAAUUCCGCGAGGAAUGUGUUGAAUCAUAGUAAUCGAACGAAUCGCAGGUAUAUGCGAUAAAUCAUUCAAGUUUCUGCCCUAUCAGCUUUGGAUGGUAGUGUAUUGGACUACCAUGGCAGUCACGGGUAACGGAGAAUUAGGGUUCGAUUCCGGAGAGGGAGCCUGAGAAACGGCUACCACAUCUAAGGAAGGCAGCAGG